CGGGAGUGUCUUUGUAAAAUAUUAAGAAGCGUUAGGUCUUCAACGUAUGUGUUUACUUGCAGGCCUGAGACCUGGGAGGAAGCUGGAGAAAAGAUGCCCUCUGAAUCUUUCUGUUUGGCUGCCCAGGCUCGCCUCGACUCCAAAUGGUUGAAAACAGAUAUACAGAUGAUAGUGUCGAACCAAGUGGAACAAAGAAAGAAGAUCUGAAUGACAAAGAGAAAAAAGAUGAAGACGAAACUCCUGCACCUGUAUAUAGGGCCAAGUCAAUUCUGGAGACCUGGGUGUGGGUCAAGCAACCAGGUAAUCUUCUGAGUUUUGGCACUUUGGAAAGCUUGAUCUGAUGCUCCUUUUCUAAAUAACAUGGGUGGAUUAUUCGUAUUUUUUGGUAACAAUUUUAAAAAAUGUAAUUAAAAAAAUUUAAAUAUCGUGGUAAAAUAUACAUACCGUAAAACUUGCCAUUUUAAUCAUUUUUAUGUGUACAGUUCAUUGGCAUUAAGUAUAUUCACAUUAUUGCCCAGCCAUCACCACCAUCCAUCUCUACAACUUUUGCCCUUUCUCUAACUGAAACUCCGUAUCCAUGAAACACUAACUCCUUCUGUCCCCAGGCAACCACCAUUCUACUUUUGUCUCAGAAUUUGACUACUCAAGGUGUCUCCUAUAAGGGGAAUCAUAC
rnacentral:lncRNA from 1 species